rnacentral:rRNA from 2 species
AGAUAGUGACGGUAUCAAUCAGAAAGGCACGGCUAACUACGUGCCAGCAGCCGCGGUAAUACGUAGGUGGCAAGCGUUGUCCCGGAUUUAUUGGGCGUAAAGCGAGUGCAGGCGGUUUUUUAAGUCUGAUGUGAAAGCCUUCGGCUUAACCGAAGAAAUGCAUUGGAAACUGGGAAACUUGAGUGCAGAAGAGGAGAGUGGAACUCCAUGUGUAGCGGUGAAAUGCGUAGAUAUAUGGAAGAACACCAGUGGCGAAGGCGGCUCUCUGGUCUGUAACUGACGCUGAGGCUCGAAAAGCGUGGGUAGCAAACAGGAUUAGAUACCCUGGUAGUCCACGCCGUAAACGAUGAGUGCUAAGUGUUGGAGGGUUUCCGCCCUUCAGUGCUGCAGCUAACGCAUUAAGCACUCCGCCUGGGGAGUACGACCGCAAGGUUGAAACUCAAAGGAAUUGACGGGGGCCCGCACAAGCGGUGGAGCAUGUGGUUUAAUUCGAAGCAACGCGAAGAACCUUACCAGGUCUUGACAUCUAGCGCCAAUCCUAGAGAUAGGACGUUCCCUUCGGGGACGCUAAGACAGGUGGUGCAUGGUUGUCGUCAGCUCGUGUCGUGAGAUGUUGGGUUAAGUCCCGCAACGAGCGCAACCCUUAUUAUCAGUUGCCAGCAUUCAGUUGGGCACUCUGGUGAGACUGCCGGUGACAAACCGGAGGAAGGUGGGGAUGACGUCAAAUCAUCAUGCCCCUUAUGACCUGGGCUACACACGUGCUACAAUGGCUAGUACAACGAGUUGCGAGACCGCGAGGUCAAGCUAAUCUCUAAAAGCUAGUCUCAGUUCGGAUUGUAGGCUGCAACUCGCCUACAUGAAGUUGGAAUCGCUAGUAAUCGCGGAUCAGCACGCCGCGGUGAAUACGUUCCCGGGCCUUGUACACACCGCCCGUCACACCAUGAGAGUUUGUAACACCCGAAGCCGGUGGAGUAACCCGUAAGGGAGCUAGCCGUCUAAGGUGACAGAAAUUGG